CUCUCUCUCUCUCUCUCUCUCUCUCUCUCUCUCUCUCUCUCUCUCUCUCUCUCUCUUCUUCAGAUCUAACAUUGCUAAGGUUGGAAUUCCACCGUUUUCACUGUUGUUCGAAGGAAUGUUGGCGUUAUCAUAUGAUAUUGAGCGAAUUUGGUGCCGAUUUACACUCUCAUCAAGAAUUCCAGAGUAGGAGAAGCAAAGCCACAUGAGUUGAACCACGAUUCUUCCAGUUUGUUGCAUAGUAGGCAAGGUAAUAAUUGGAAACUAGUGUGACACUGAAGGGUACUACUUAUUCUUUUACCUUCACCUCGUCGAUUUCGGAGUUUCUACUGCUUUUGCGUCAAAAGACAUCCUUGGUAAUUUUCUUGGUGGAUUAUCUAUGCAAUUCUCAAAGCCCUUUUCAUUUGGAGAUACAAUCAAGGCUGGAUCAAUAGAAGGUCAAGUGACGGAGAUGGGUUUAACUACAACUUCGUUAUUGAAUGCUGAAAAGUUUCCAGUAACAGUUCCAAACUCUAUGUUUUCUAAUAAGGUCAUCGUUAACAAGUCUCGACCUGGGUGACGUGCUUAUAUCAGUAAAAUUCCAUUGCAGUUCGACAAUUUGGAGAAAGUUCCUCAGAUUUCAACUGACAUAAAGUCAAUGCUAGAGUCAUAUCCCAAAGUUUUUUUGGGACGUGAGGCUCCUUACUGUUAUCUCUCUCAAAUUGAUAGUUCAUAUGUUGAACUGACUCUUGGAUGCAAUCUCAAACAACUGAAAAAAUCUCAAACGAAGGAGAACGAAAAUUACGGAGAAGGAGAACUCGCUGCUCUCUACCACGGCGAGUUUCCGAAUGCCGAUGCUUCCGAUGCCGCUGCUAUCAAGGAUUCUAAAUCUCAGUACUCGGAAGAGGUUGGAUGAACUUGUAGAUGAAGCUGGUGUGCCUCGUUAAAUGCAGGGGAAAUUCGAGCACGAGAUGGGGAUGCCUAAAGGCGGCACUUUUGCCUUGUACUCAUUGCUAUGCCGGCAUGCAAACCUUGGUGUUCUUCAUACUGAUGAGAAGUUAUCUGCAAUAUAUCUAUUGAGGGAUCCGAGCAGACAGCAAGGAAUUCUGCUUUCAAGCUACCAUUUGAAAAGCAUGAAAGAUUUCAUAAAGCGUUGCUGAUCUUUGUUUUUCUGGGAACAUGUUUGACUAUUGCUGAUGGUGUUCUCACACCAGCAAUAUCAGUUCUUUCGGCAGUGUCUGGAGUUCGUCUAAAAUUCACGGGACUUCAUGAAAGUAAGUUCUACUUCGUCCACAAAUCGAAGGGGAAAAAGGGAAGAAAGAGAGGCAUUACUAAAGUGUUUCAGAAACAUGCAACAGCUGCAAUGAAAUUUACAAUGCUUUUGACAAAUAAUAUCUUAAUUUGCAGAUUAUGUCGUUGUGGUUUCCUGCAUCAUUUUUGUAGUCCUGCUUUCUCUCCAACAUCAUGGAAUACAUAGGGUUUCUUUCAUGUUUGCACCAAUUGUUUUAGCAUGGCUCCUUUGUAUCAGCAGCAUCGGUGUUUAUAAUAUUAUAAGGUGGUCAUUUUGUGUUUAUUGAUUUAGUCAGUUACUGAGUAUUGUUCAUCUGAUUGUUUUAAUUAGGAUAGAAAUGUUGAUGUAAUAUCUAGAUUGAUUGAAUAUCAAUUGUUGGUUUGGCUUAGAAUGUGAUGGUGGCUUGGUGUUUAUUGCUAUAAUCAGACGGUGGGUGAUUUUUUUUUUGUAAAAUAAAUGUACUAUUUACAGCGCG